rnacentral:rRNA from 1 species
GACGAGCGCUGGCGGCGUGCUUAACACAUGCAAGUCGAGCGAUGAAGCUCCUUCGGGAGUGGAUUAGCGGCGGACGGGUGAGUAACACGUGGGUAACCUGCCUCAUAGAGGGGAAUAGCCUUUCGAAAGGAAGAUUAAUUCCGCAUAAGAUUGUAGUGCCGCAUGGCAUAGCAAUUAAAGGAGUAAUCCGCUAUGAGAUGGACCCGCGUCGCAUUAGCUAGUUGGUGAGGUAACGGCUCACCAAGGCGACGAUGCGUAGCCGACCUGAGAGGGUGAUCGGCCACAUUGGGACUGAGACACGGCCCAGACUCCUACGGGAGGCAGCAGUGGGGAAUAUUGCACAAUGGGGGAAACCCUGAUGCAGCAACGCCGCGUGAGUGAUGACGGUCUUCGGAUUGUAAAACUCUGUCUUCAGGGACGAUAAUGACGGUACCUGAGGAGGAAGCCACGGCUAACUACGUGCCAGCAGCCGCGGUAA